AGGGAAUAUUGGACAAUGGGGGCAACCCUGAUCCAGCCAUGCCGCGUGAGUGAAGAAGGCCCUCGGGUUGUAAAGCUCUUUUGUCCGGAAAGAAAAGCAUUCGGUGAGUACCCGGAUGUUCUGACGGUACCGGAAGAAUAAGCACCGGCUAACUUCGUGCCAGCAGCCGCGGUAAUACGAAGGGUGCAAGCGUUACUCGGAAUUACUGGGCGUAAAGCGUGCGUAGGUGGUUGUUUAAGUCUGAUGUGAAAGCCCUGGGCUCAACCUGGGAAUGGCAUUGGAAACUGGGCAGCUAGAGUGCGGUAGAGGGUAGUGGAAUUCCCGGUGUAGCAGUGAAAUGCGUAGAGAUCGGGAGGAACAUCUGUGGCGAAGGCGACUGCCUGGACCAGCACUGACACUGAGGCACGAAAGCGUGGGGAGCAAACA
rnacentral:rRNA from 1 species